rnacentral:lncRNA from 1 species
AAAGGAACCAUGCCUACUGCCAGGACGACGACAACCAGAUCUGCCAGGUGCCUGUCUCCAUCACCAACAGUGCCUCCAUCUGCCCGGAGUGUCCCACCCAGCAACCUGCUGCUCCCCUGCCCGCCAACACAAAGCCUGAUGAGACACCAGGCAGGCAGGUCAGCUGCUGCUGGCUGAAACAAAUGGGAAGAG